AAAACAGUGUGUCAAUAAUGCAAAAGGACAGUUAAAGGCAGUUCAUCAUUGAAUUCAGUAAUGUCAUCAUGCAGCUCAGUUCAGUUUAAAUAGUAUCUGUGCAAUAAUUUGCAAUCAAGUCAACGAUAUCGCUGUAAAUGAAGUGUCCCCAACUAAGCAAGCCAGAGGCGACAGCAAAGUCAGAUUGUGCAGAAGAAUCAUCUAUUUCCUGUGGUCUUGUCCCGGUGGUCGUCUGAGACAAGGUCUUUACAGGGGAUCUGUCUCUGGGGCUCUAGUUGUCCUGGUCUCCGCUGUCUUUCAGGGCUGUAGAGGUCCUUUCUAGGUGCUUAUCCACCAUCUGGGCUGGAUACGUACUGGAUCCGGGUGACUGCAGUGACCCUCUGACUUGGAUACAGACUGGAUCUAGCGGCUAUGGUGACCUCGGAAUAAGAGAGAAACAGACUAAUAUUAGCAUAGAUGCCAUUCUUCUAAUGAUGUAGCAAGUAAAUUGGGUGUUAUGGGACGUGUUCCCCGGUUCCGGUUUACCUAAUUAAUGCAGCCUAAAAAUCCAUUAAUGGAUUUGGAUAUUAGAAGCAUAUUAGUGUGCUAUAUGUAAGCCAGGUUAAAGAGAUGGGUCUUUAAUCUAGAUUUAAACUGCAAGAGUGUGUCUGCCUCCCGAACAAUGUUAGGUAGGUUAUUCCAGAGUUUGGUCGCUAAAUAGGAAAAGGAUCUGCCGCCCGCAGUUGACUUUGAUAUUCUAGGUAUUAUCAAAUUGCCAGAGUUUUGAGAACGGUGCGGACGUGGAGGACUAUAAUGUAACAAGAGCUCGUUCAAAUACUGAGGUGCUAAACCAUUCAGGGCUUUAUAAGUAAUAAGCAAGAUUUUAAAUCUAUACGAUGUUUAAUAGAGAGCCAGUGCAGUGUUGACAGAACCGGGCUAAUAUGAUCAUUCUUCCUGGUUCUAGUAAGAACUCUAGCUGCUGCAUUUUGGACUAACUGGAGUUUGUUUACUAAGCUUGCAGAACAACCACCCAAUAAAGCAUUACAAUAAUCUAACCUUUAGGUCAUAAACGCAUGGAUUAACAUUUCUGCAUUUGACAUUGAGAGCAUAGGCCCUAAUUUAGAUAUAUUUUUGAGAU
ensembl:lncRNA